rnacentral:rRNA from 1 species
UACGUAGACCUCAAGCGUUAUCCGAAUUUAUUGGGCGUAAAGAGCAUGUAGGAGGUUUUGCACGUCUUGCGUUAAAGCCCACCGCCUAACGGUGGAAGUGCGCGAGAUACGGCAUCACUAGAGGAAGUUAGAGGUGCAUAGAACGCACGGUGUAGGGGUGAAAUCCGUUGAUAUCGUGCGGAAUACCAAAGGCGAAGGCGGUUCUCUGGGACGGUACUGACGCUGAGACGCGAAAGCGUGGGGAGCGAACAGG